rnacentral:rRNA from 1 species
GAUGAACGCUGGCGGCGUGCCUAAUACAUGCAAGUCGAGCGAAUGGAUUAAGAGCUUGCUCUUAUGAAGUUAGCGGCGGACGGGUGAGUAACACGUGGGUAACCUGCCCAUAAGACUGGGAUAACUCCGGGAAACCGGGGCUAAUACCGGAUAACAUUUUGAACCGAAUGGUUCGAAAUUGAAAGGCGGCUUCGGCUGUCACUUAUGGAUGGACCCGCGUCGCAUUAGCUAGUUGGUGAGGGAACGGCUCACCAAGGCAACGAAGCGUAGCCGACCUGGGAGGGUGAUCGGCCACACUGGGACUGAGACACGGCCCAGACUCCUACGGGAGGCAGCAGUAGGGAAUCUUCCGCAAUGGACGAAAGUCUGACGGAGCAACGCCGCGUGAGUGAUGAAGGCUUUCGGGUCGUAAAACUCUGUUGUUAGGGAAGAACAAGUGCUAGUUGAAUAAGCUGGCACCUUGACGGUACCUAACCAGAAAGCCACGGCUAACUACGUGCCAGCAGCCGCAGUAA